UGGUGAAAAACUUUUACACCAAAUCGUGAAACAUAAGAAGCAAGACGCACCGCUGAGCUGUUCGAAUUGUGUAAUUUGUGUGGUGGUAAAUAAAAGAGAAAAAAAUAAUGUAAUUCGAGUUGUUUGCAAAGUUUAUUAUUCGUGGUUCUUACUUUCGCCCUCGAAUGAGGAAAAGACACUUUUCAAAGUGUCGCCACGUGGCGCCAUCGCGAUACUUACAGUAGGGGGCCACGUGCACGUGCACGAGUACGAGUACGGGCGGUGGCGCGCAUCCAUCGCAGGUGAACGCGGGUUUUUCGACACACGUCGCCGGCACGGGAAUGGGUGGUACACGUGCUCACCUGCUCCUCAUCCUCAUCCUCUGCGCCCUGGCGGACUGUUCCUCGAUAGAGGAAAUCACCAGAACGUUCCAGUGUCUGGAAGAACAAGACACUUUUCAUAUGGAGCAUGGAAUCGAAAACCCGAAACAGAAGAAAUGCCAGCAGACCUGGGCACAGGGACGCAAAGGAACGCUGCGAAGAGAGCUCAGAGCUCCGGGGCCCCCCCCGCAGCCCAGACGGUCGGCUGGGGGUCCCUGUGCGCCUCUGCGUUCAUCACGGCGCUCAUUGGUGCUUCAGCUCGGUGGUAGCGGUACUGGUACUGGCGCCGGGGCCAAGCGGGUUAGGUCUCCUCCCGCCUGCGUGAUCGUGGGAGGGACCCCUUGCUUCAGGAGUGUGUUCCGGCCUGGUGGGGGAGGGGGCACCUGCUCCAGGUGCGCGGUGUUAGGAGCAGAUUUGACUGUCUUCCUCAUCGAGCAGGGAAAAGGAACUACAUCACCGCUUUUGUCCCUCUUUCUGCUGAAGUUCUUUUCCAUCUGUGACUGUGGGGCACUGCUGGGGGGUGGGGGGGGGCACUUUGUCACUUAAUUUACAUCUCAAUAAUCCUGUGGCCACAGACCAAUCCUGAGAUUUAUUUGCUGGGAACAAACCCUCUUGAUCACUGCCUUCUGCUUCAAGGUCCCAGGUUCGAAUCCCAUUCCUACUGUAGUCCCCUUAGUGAAGGUACUUACUUUGAAUUGAUGCAGUAAAGGGUAAAUCAGUGUAAACAGCUUACUGUAGAAACCCUGCACUGUAAGUUGCUGUAGAGGAAAGGUGCUAAUUGGCAAAUAUUUCCUUUCAAAGCUUUACAUUCAUGAAAUAACCCAAAAGUUUCCCCGUUGGUUAUUUGUGAUAUUUCUCACUUUAUGCCCCUCCCUCUGAGCCACCGAAAAUGUACUUUUCUUUCCCACAGUCGUGGGUAAAAUACUUUAAUGGUAGCAGUGUGGAAGUUGCUGUGAAGUACUCAGGGUUUACCAUGUUGAGGUGAACCUUCACUCAGGUGCUGCUGCUGCUGCUGAAGAAACAGGCUGUACUCUACUCCGUUUACUCACCACAUGUGUAAAUUGCGGUCAGUACUGUAAUUCGGAGUUUUACUCUGCCUGACCGUGUUUUCCGUUGGGCUCUUUUUUGUGCUUUUACCCAGUUUACAACCUGUUUCCUUUAUGAAAGCAGCAUUUACCUUAAAAUUACCCUGCACAGUGAUGGGAUUUCAGGAAUGUGAAUGUGAGAUGUGAGGUAUCGAACACACAGACACUCACACACACAGUCUGUUGGGAUAUAAAGAAUAUGAAUGAAAAGAUUUGUUAACAAUCACUAAUGAGGGACUAAUGACCAGUGACAGUGUAUCAAAGAAUGACCUUUUAUUGCGUGUUAUUUAUUGGAGAAUUAUCAAUUUAACCUAAAAUGUAUUUGAAUGUAGUCAUGUGGCUUUAACCCAUGUUGCCAUCACACGGUAUCUGGUGUCUCCCGUCCUGCUGCUCGAGCGGCUCGGUGCCCUGUUCUCCACAUCUGUGCAGGUCCGUCCACACCUGUCCAACGUGUGAAAAGUACCAGUUUCCCAAAGACACCACUGUUUGUGCGUAUCUGCACUUGUGCAUUUCCAACACCAGCGUGCCGGUGGGGUGCAGCGCAGUGGUAAAAGGGAGUAAAGGCACUGGCAAAGCGGUACAGUGAAGGACAGCUGCAGCGAGGACCGGAGCAUCGCUCUCAAGAGCUCAGUUACAGUGAAAGUUCCGGUACAUCAUCACCUCGCACGGUGGCAGCUCCCCGGGUCACGUCUCAGCCGCCAGUUUCCAAAGUGCUCUUUGACUCGGGCUGUGGUGUCGGCUAUUAAUGGCAGCAGUAAUAAUAUCUUAUACCUGUGAAACUGUGUGUGUGUGUGUGUGAAUGCGCCCGCACGCAUGCCAAAACUACACACAGAGUGAUAUGCUUUGUUGGCAGAUGAGCCCUUUUCUUUCACUUCCCCUUUGUCGCACUGGAAACUUUCCUCUCUGCCCACCCAGUGAUGUCAGAGACGCUGCUCACGCUGUCAGUUCUCGUUCGCUGGCGCUGCUCCCGAAGAGAAAGGGCAUCAUCUUUCAAAAGUGCAUGCGCGCGCACACACACACACACGCAGACAAAUGUGCUGAUCUCCAGCACACAGCCACAAAAGGACAACAUUUCAGAAGGUUCAUCAUGAUCGAAAAACGUAUUUAUGGAGCAUGAUGUUCACUUACUGUUUGUUUCCGAAAUUUUCCAGUGUUAACAUUAAAACUUAAAAUGUACGCUUGCACUUUCUGUAACGCACCUUUAUCCUAGCUUUUCUCUCUGUAUGUUUGCACUUUUUUUGUCUGUUAAUACUACUGUAUAUUUUUAUUCUGGUAAAUUUUUAGAAUAAUGAAAAUAAAAUAAAUGUAAAUAUGUGUUCA
ensembl:lncRNA